rnacentral:rRNA from 1 species
AUUGAACGCUGGCGGCAGGCCUAACACAUGCAAGUCGACCGAGUGGCGGACGGGUGAGUUAUGUCUGGGAAACUGCCCGAUGGAGGGGGAUAACUACUGGAAACGGUAGCUAAUACCGCAUACCAUCGGAUGUGCCAAGAUGGGAGUAGCUAGGAGGUGGGGUAAUGGAUCACCUAGUCGACGAUCCCUAGCUGGGCGGAGAGGAUGACCAGCCACACUGGAACUGAGACCCGGUCCAACCGCCUACGGGAGGCAGCAUUGGGGAAUAUGGCACAAUGGGCGCAAGCCUGAUGCAGCCAUGCCGCGUGUAUGAAGAAGGCCUUCGGGUUGUAAAGUACUGUCAGCGAGGAGGCGUUACUCGCAGAAGAAGCACCGGCUAACUCCGUGCCAGCAGCCGCGGUAAUUC